UACGGAGGGUGCAAACGUUGUUCGGAAUUACUGGGCGUAAAGCGCGUGUAGGCGGCUUGGCAAGUCAGGUGUGAAAGCCCUCGGCUCAACUGAGGAAGUGCAUUUGAAACUGCCAGGCUAGAGUACGGGAGAGGGUAGUAGAAUUCCCGGUGUAGAGGUGAAAUUCGUAGAUAUCGGGAGGAAUACCGGUGGCGAAGGCGGCUACCUGGACCGAUACUGACGCUGAGACGCGAAAGCGUGGGGAGCAAACAGG
rnacentral:rRNA from 1 species